UUAUAGAAUAUGAUCUAACACUGGACCACCAUGGUUGAGAUAUAUUUCCAGGUAUAGUAACUCAGACACAAACAAGUGAACAAUACUAAGUUCAACAAAAUGCAUGAUAGCCAAAUGAAGUGGCAUUACACCUUCGCAUUCCAUGUUCGUUUGAUUCACAUCUGCUCCGGCAUCAAGCAGUAACCUCACAAUGCUUGGGUCUCCUGUAUUUACUGCGGCAUGUAGCAAACCGUUUCCCGAUUUUGAUAUUUGUUGCAUGUCGACAGCUUUAUCUCUCUGGAUUGAAAAUAUAAACGUCAUUAACCCAUUGAGUGGCAGCACCGACUCCCCUUGACAAGUAAAAUCGUUUGGCAUUUAGACAGAGGUACAUAACUGUAACAUAAUAAAGUAGGGCACAUCAUGGCACUUUGCCACUUAAAAGGG